UUCACUCCCUACUCUUCCCUCGACCCUAAGUGCAUUUGGUGCCGGUGCACUUCAGCCAUUCAUCCAUAAGUCUCCGACAUCCUCUCAUCGACAAUUUGCAGAACUCUGGGAUGAAAAAUAUCUAUCUAUCUUCCUCUUUUGUUGCAUUCUCCGAUGUUACACAAAACAAAGGGUGUAAAUGGAAGGUAUCUGAGUAUUCUCCAAAAGCAUUUGGUUUUCUUUCACAGGAACAUAGUGGGCUUAAACAUAUUUUGGCUAAAUCUAAUUGCUAUAAUUUGGAUCGAGCAGCCCUUUGAGUUGCCUGACGAAAUUAGAAGGAUUGUUGCUGAUAUCAAGAUUUUCCUCUUGCGUUGUUGAGCAUAUAAGUCAUAAGCAAAAUAGAGAGGGUUUCUUAUGAUCGGCUCUGAGAUUACUCUACCCACCAUUGCCGCUAAUGCCAAGCCCUAAUCAGACCCUAAUCAGAUCAAAUCAUAGGAUACAUAAGUUCUCUCCAAAUCAUGCUUUUACAGUGUUCUCCGAAGAGAGAAU